GGAAAAUGACCCUAGGCAUUUCUCAAUGGCUGAUAGAUCAGAGAGGGAGAAGGGAACAAUGCCUUCUGCUCUGGCUACCUCACAAAGGAGGCAAAGGAGGGAGUUUCAUCAUUGGGAGCACAGCACCAGACGGGCGAGCAGGGGCACCAGGAUGUCUCCAUGAGACCCACAGCUCGAGAUGGAAAGGAGUCCCUGACACAGCCGUGAUUACGGAGAGGGUACCUCAAGGUCACCUUCAUUUGUUUGAUUAACCUUGAUGUGCUGGCCACAGCUGGUUUCUCCAAGGUUUACAUCUGAUCCUAAGCCAUCUGGACUCACCAUGGUCAAUGAGGGAAGCAGAUUCACGGGCUUGAUAAAAGGAGUCAUACUCACUGCAGGAAUACAUUAGGAAAGACAAGAGAACCCACAGAUCCUCUGAAGGAAGCAGACUGCUCCUGCAGGACCUAGGAGACACACCAAAUACUGUGAGUGCCCAAACUGUGGAAGUGGGAAAUGGAGAUCAUCUGCCCCCAAACACCCCCCCACACUGGAGAACCUUGAAGAUCUAGAUUACAGGAGAAUAUUCUGACCUCACCUGCAGUUGCAGGCAGAUAGAGAGUGGCACUGGAAUCAUCUGAAGUUCAACUGGGCUGGACCUUCAAGAUGGCUUCUUCCCUUGCAUGCCUGGACCCUCAUUGUGGAUGGCUGGAACAGCUGGCCACUGGCUGGGUGAACUACUGACUGGGGAAAUUUAUAAAAUAGGAGACACAGUUAAAUACAUCUUUAGGAAAUUUCUUCUUACUGUCUGUGAUUGCAACCCCUCUACAAGUUUUAUGUACUUAAAAGCCAACUACUUUAUAAGGUCUGAGACACCUUUUAAGCAGAUUGGAAGAUAGGCACUCUGUAAUGAUGUGCAAUGUCUUUGCUUGUUGCUUAGAAAGGUAUGCACAAAUUUUUACUAACACUGAAAACUCAAGCCUUUGGCACAGUGUUCUUCAGUGUUUAGAAAUUUGUAUUUGUUUCAUUAAAAAUUAAGAAAAUUUUCUUAUGAGCUCCAGAUGAACUUACCCCUUAAAACAUUUCUAAAAAUGAGAAGCAUGUCUUAAGUUUUCCUUUGAUAUACUGUUGGAAAUUAGAUUGUAGCUAUGUAGAACUUAAUUUUUUCAUAUUCAGUUGUUUUUCUUAAUUGUCUCAUUUUUUGCUUGCAAGGAAUCAUAUGUAUACAGAUUACAUGUUUUCUCUAGAUCUUGAAAUCUAGGUUAUUUGUACUCUUUUAAACCCAUUUAAUUUUUUUUUUGAUGCAUUAGUGAAGAGUAUCCUGUGGUUUCUCACUGUAAUUUUUCUUCAGGACACAAGUUAACAGAUGCCUGGAGUAAUUUAAAAAAUAGAUAUAAAUAUGCUACAUUAUAAUUCGGUAAAAGUUUAGUAUCCAAUCUCUGCCUGACUGCUGGAGUUGAGACAUAAAUCUUCUCCUGCUUCAGUGCUCCAUCAGACUCAGACUGAAAUGUACAAUAUUAGCUCUCUUGUUCUCAGGCCUUUGAACUACACUGCUGGCUUUCCUGGGUCUCCAACUUGAAAUGGGACUUCAUGGGACUUCUCAGAUUCCAUAAUUAAUUUAGCAACACUGAAUCUAAACCAGAUAAGGCAAUUUCAGCACUUAAGUCAGACCCCAAGAUUAGCUUGCCAGUAUCUAAACUGAGAUGCACUUCUGAAAUUGUCUUUGUUAGAAAGUUGAGGUGCCUGUGGAAGCUCAAGCUGACAGGAGAUAUCUAGCAAGUGUGCUACUAUUUGAACCUUAAGCCUUUAGGAGAAUUGUGUUGGAGGUUUACAUUUGAAUGAAUGUAGCUUUUAGGGAGCAGAGUUGAAACGCUGUUGGAUGAAAACACACAAGGAAAACUGAGGAGGGCAACAGAAAGCCAGCAUUUUAGAUAUAUUUGGAAGUUGAGAAGCCUUCAACAUUCACUGAGGAGGACUUUUCAGAAAUGAAAAAUUGGGAGAGUAGGGUGUUUUGUGAGCCAGGAGAACGGAAUAAUGGUUUUUACACUGUGCUCCCCAAAGUCCCACUAGGGGUGACCACAUUUUAUAAUGCAGAGAGGAAUAGAUAGAUGUGACUCUACACCUCGCACUAAAAUCAGAGUUGUGAAUACACUAAAAAAAUCACUCCAGUGACUUUCAUCUUUGAUUGCAGGUGUAAAAGAUGAAGAAAAUUUUAUUCAUUAGACCUUAUCUUAAGGAGAAAACUGCUUGAUUUCAGGAAGAGAGAAAAAUCUCAAAAGCAUGCUCCAACAAAAUAAGAUGCUUACUGAAAUACUAAGCAGGAGAAAAAGAGAGAAAUUGUUUUGUUUCUGAAAAGAAGAAAGGAAGAAUGCAUAAAGAAUUAAGGGAGAAAAAUGGGUAGUAAAAGAGAAGGCAGAUCUUAUGAUGUAGUUUUAUGACUCAGUUAUCAUCAAUAAUGUUUCUAUACAUAGAAAUCUUUUUCUUUAAAUAAAUGAUAAAGGUUCUGAAUUUUGUUUUGUGCUAAUAUAGAGGAAAAUAGAGAGAUUUGUGCUAAUAUAGAGCACAAAUUUUAUGUUGUGCAUAGCACAGAUAUUUGGAGAAAGUCCCAUGAUGAUGUAAAAUUUGGGAAUUUGAAGAGAUCAUGAAGAGGCUUUGAAUUUUCACAGGCCAAGUGUAUUUGAAAUAGGACUUCUCUCUCUCUCUCUCUCUCUCUCUCUCUCUCUCUCUCUCUCUCUCUCUCCCUUUAUUAUACUUUAAAUUCUGGGGUGCAUGUGCAGAUCUUGCAGGAUUGUUACAUGGGUAUAUACAUGCUAUGGUGGUUUGCUGCCUCCAUCCCCUCGUCACCUACAUUAGGUAUUUCUCUUAAUAUUAUCCCUCCCCAAUCUCCCCACACCCCACUAUCCCUCUCCUAGCUCUCCACCUCCCAACAGACUCCAGUGUGUGAUGUUCCCCUCCCUGUGUCCAUGUGUUCUCAUUGUUCAAUACCCACCUAUGAGUGAGAACAUGUAGUGUUUGAUUUUCUGUUUUUGUGUCAGUUUGCUGAGAAUGAUGGUCUCCAGGUUCAUCCAUGUCCCUACAAAGGAUGCAAACUCAUUGUUUUUGAUGGCUCCAUGGUGUAUAUGUGCCACAUUUUCCCUGUUCAGUCUAUCAUUGAUGGGCAUUUGGGUUGGUUCCAGGUCUUUGCUAUU